GAAAAAAUGCCAUAUAACAGAUUGGGAGAAGUUACCUGAUUGUUUACCCUCUGAAACCUUAAGGGGUUAACCACUGUCUCACUCCAUUCCUGCUGCUAUAACAAAAUACCACAAACUGGGUAUUUACUAUAAAGAAGAGAAAUUUAUUUCUUACUUAUCUGGACUUUGGGAAUCCAGGAUCAAACCUGUGGCAUUCAGUGGCUGGUAAAGAAACUGCGGCAAUGAAAGCUGAUCUCCUGAGGGCCAGGAACAUGAAGAGGUACAUCAACCAACUGACUGUGGCAAAGAAGCAGUGUGAGAAGAGAAUCCGAAUCCUGGGAGGCCCUGCCUAUGACCAGCAAGAGGAUGGGGCCCUGGAUGAGGGGGAAGGGCCUCAAAGCCAGAAGAUUCUUCAGUUUGAAGAUAUCUUGGCCAAUACUUUCUACCGAGAGCACUUUGGAAUGUACAUGGAAAGGAUGGACAAGAGAGCUCUGAUUAGUUUUUGGGAAUCUGUGGAACAUUUAAAGAAUGCUAACAAGAAUGAAAUUCCACAAUUAGUUGGUGAAAUUUAUCAGAAUUUCUUUGUGGAGAGCAAAGAAAUAUCUGUGGAAAAAUCACUUUACAAAGAAAUUCAGCAGUGUCUUGUAGGAAAUAAAGGUAUUGAAGUAUUCUACAAAAUCCAGGGAGAUGUUUAUGAGACCCUAAAGGAUAGGUAUUACCCUUCAUUUAUUGUCAGUGACCUGUAUGAGAAACUGUUGAUAAAAGAGGAAGAAAAACAUGCCUCACAGAUGAUUUCCAACAAGGAUGAGAUGGGCCCAAGAGAUGAGGCUGGUGAGGAAGCUGUGGAUGACGGUACCAAUCGGAUCAAUGAACAAGCCAGUUUUGCUGUAAACAAACUGCGAGAACUAAAUGAGAAACUUGAAUAUAAAAGGCAAGCUCUAAAUUCUAUUCAAAAUGCACCAAAACCUGACAAGAAGAUUGUUUCCAAGUUGAAGGAUGAAAUAAUCCUAAUAGAGAAAGAACGCACAGACCUUCAGCUGCACAUGGCAAGAACGGAUUGGUGGUGUGAAAACCUUGGCAUGUGGAAAGCCUCCAUCACCAGUGGAGAGGUUACAGAAGAGAAUGGUGAGCAAUUGCCAUGUUACUUUGUCAUGGUAAGCCUACAAGAAGUUGGAGGAGUUGAAACUAAGAACUGGACGGUCCCCAGAAGGCUUAGCGAGUUUCAGAAUUUACACCGGAAACUCAGUGAGUGCGUCCCUUCUUUAAAAAAAGUCCAGUUGCCUUCUCUUAGCAAGCUGCCUUUCAAAUCUAUAGAUCAAAAGUUUAUGGAAAAGUCGAAGAAUCAAUUAAAUAAAUUUUUACAGGAGGAGACAGAGGAGGACAGUGACCUGUCAGAUUAUGGUGAUGAUGUGGAUGGGAGGAAAGACGCCUUGGCUGAACCAUGUUUCAUGUUGAUUGGGGAGAUUUUUGAACUUCGAGGAAUGUUUAAAUGGGUGAGAAGAACAUUAAUUGCCCUCGUUCAGGUCACUUUUGGAAGAACCAUCAACAAACAAAUCCGGGACACAGUCAACUGGAUUUUCAGUGAGCAAAUGUUGAUUUACUACAUCAAUAUUUUCCGGGAUGCUUUUUGGCCAAAUGGGAAGUUGGCACCACCGACCACAAUCAGGAGCGAAGAGCAAAGUCAGGAAACAAAACACAGAGCACAGCAAAAGCUGCUUGAAAACAUUCCAGAUAUGCUUCAGAGCCUUGUUGGACAGCAAAAUGCCCGCCAUGGUAUAAUAAAAAUAUUCAAUGCACUGCAAGAAACAAGAGCCAACAAGCAUCUGUUAUAUGUGCUGAUGGAACUGCUGCUAAUUGAACUGUGUCCUGAGCUGAGAAUUCAUUUAGAUCAACUUAAAGCUGGCCAAGUUUGAGACUGUACAAAUAAACCACCAGAAAAAUGUCUGUGUAAUAAUAGA
rnacentral:sRNA from 1 species